rnacentral:lncRNA from 1 species
UGCGCCUGUUGCGGGAGGAGGAAAUGAAAAUUCAGGAAGGUCUAGUGAUUUGUACAAGGUCACAAAACAGGUGGCUAAGUUUGUGGUAACGUGGCCCGCAGCCGCAGAUCACACCAGCCCUCAUAGGCUCUGGAAGGUUUCGGUCAGCGUCUGCCACAGCGCAUUCUCCGUGACGUCUCUCACUGGAACCCCACGGGCCGCGGAGCUUCUCUGUUCAGUGGGGGUGGAGAAGAGGCCAAGGUUGGUGCAGAGUCACAGCGGGAACAGUGAGGGCAGGAAAGAAAAAUGAAGAAACAUUUGUUCCUAUCAGAGCCAAAUCAAUGCGAAUGAUUUUCCAGUUUGUCACUCCAACGGCUAAACCAAAGCAUUCCAGGCAGAUGGAAUUUGCCCCAUUGCUUAACGGGAAACAGUGUGGCAGGAUGAGACUCUGGUUCUUACGAACGGACAACUUCAGCUCCUUAAGACCUGAGACAUAGUCUGAACACUUAAGAAUGUGUGUCUGAUAGAACGCAUAAAUAGCAGUAUGUAUCUCUUUUAUUCUGUCAAUAAAAAUACGCCCU